AAAUUUUGUGUUAUUGAUAACGGUUGAAAAACAAUUAUUUUCAUACUUAAUUUUGAUAUUAAAUCACACCCUUUAUGGCUUAGAAUUAGCUUGAAAUCAUGCAUUUUUAUUAAGUUAGAGAAUAAGAGAGUCAAAGUUGGUUUUCUUGGUUUUAUGCUUGGUUUCCCUUCAUUUUGUAAGUUUUUGGAAUGAAUUGGAAGAAA
rnacentral:lncRNA from 1 species